AAGCUUGCCUGACAGGGGGCGACACCAUGAUUAGAAAUGUGGUUUUCCUAAGCCAAGGCUUAUCCAUUGCAUUUGGGAUGUACUGACCCCUGCAAUUUCCUCAAAUGCAAGAAACUUAACUGCAUAAUUUGUGGUAGUGGGGACUACAUUUUUGAAAACAAAAAUGCCCA